CCUACGGGAGGCAGCAGUGAGGAAUAUUGGUCAAUGGACGAGAGUCUGAACCAGCCAAGUAGCGUGAAGGAUGACUGCCCUAUGGGUUGUAAACUUCUUUUAUAUGGGAAUAAAAUGUUCCACGUGUGGGAUUUUGUAUGUACCAUAUGACUAAGGAUCGGCUAACUCCGUGCCAGCAGCCGCGGUAAUACGGAGGGUCCGAGCGUUAUCCGGAUUUAUUGGGUUUAAAGGGAGCGUAGGUGGAUUGUUAAGUCAGUUGUGAAAGUUUGCGGCUCAAACGUAAAAUUGCAGUUGAAACUGGCAGUCUUGAGUACAGUAGAGGUGGGCGGAAUUCGUGGUGUAGCGGUGAAAUGCUUAGAUAUCACGAAGAACUCCGAGUGCGAAGGCAGUUCACUGGACUGCAACUGACACUGAGGCUCGAAAGUGUGGGUAUCAAACAGGAUUAGAUACCCGUGUAGUC
rnacentral:rRNA from 1 species